GGAUUAGGGCAGUUUCUUUCUCUCCUUAUUACUGGAACUGGUUUCGCCUCUUCUGAAUUAUUUAAAAAAGGUUAUUUCUUCUCUUUUAGUGCGGUUUUGUUCUGUUUUGAAUUUAAAUUUCAAAUUUGUAUGUUUUUAAUUGUUGUUAAUUAAUUUUUCUGUUGGAGGUUUGAUCAGUUAGAGGCUGAAGAGGUUAUAGGGGUGGUUAAUUCAGUUAGUUAGUAGAAAGGAGGGUUUUGUUGGAGGUUAGGAUUCAGUUUUUGCAUUCUGUUAUGACAGUUGGGUUAGAAAACUGUUAUGGGCUAGUUGAAGCAGUUAGAGAGAGUUAUCAAGUUUUGUUUCCUCCUGUUAUCAGUUUUUUCCAGUGUGGUGAAAAGUUUCUCUGAAAGUGCUUGCCCUUUUUUGGUGAUCUCUGUUAUGUGAGGUUGUGAAGAAUUCUCCUAUCAUUUCUGUGCAGAGUUAAGGUUUUUGUAGCAGUUGCUGGCUUGGUUAUCAAUUGGAGGUUGUGUAUCAUGGAUUGGAUGCUUGAACUGAAUGGAUAUGGAAUGCAUUGCUUGAAUUGGAUAUGGAUUUUUGUUGUAAAUUUUGUAUUGUUGUAAAUUGACAAUAAAUGUAUGCAUGGAUUUUUGAAUGAAUGAAAUGGUGUUAAUGUAUGUAUGUUUGGAAAUGAAUUGAACAUUUGGAAAUUGGAAUGAAUUCAUAGGAAAAUGUUGGUUUAAUGUA